GAUGAAGAACGUAGCGAAAUGCGAUAAGUAGUGUGAAUUGCAGAAUUCAGUGAAUCAUCGAAUCUUUGAACGCACAUUGCGCCCUUUGGUAUUCCUUAGGGCAUGCCUGUUCGAGCGUCAUUUAAACCUUCAAGCUAAGCUUGGUGUUGGGUGACUGUCCGCUUCACGGCGGACUCGCCUCAAAAUUAUUGGCGGCCGGUACAUUGGCUUCGAGCGCAGCAGAAACGCGAACUCGGGCCCGUCGUAUUGGCUCCCAGAAGCUAUCUUCACAAUUUUGACCUCGGAUCAGGUAGGGAUACCCACUGAACUUAAGCAUAUCAAUAAGCGGAGGA
rnacentral:misc_RNA from 1 species